rnacentral:rRNA from 1 species
GGUUAAGCGACUAAGCGUACACGGUGGAUGCCUAGGCAGUCAGAGGCGAUGAAGGGCGUGCUAAUCUGCGAUAAGCGUCGGUAAGCUGAUAUGAAGCGUUAUACCCGACGAUACCCGAAUGGGGAAACCCAGUGUGUUUCGACACACUAUCAUUAUGUGAAUACAUAGCGUAAUGAGGCGAACCGGGGGAACUGAAACAUCUCAGUACCCCGAGGAAAAGAAAUCAACCGAGAUUCCCCUAGUAGCGGCGAGCGAACGGGGAGGAGCCCAGAACCUGAAUCAGUUUGUGUGUUAGUGGAAGCGUCUGGAAAGUCGCACAGUAAAGGGUGAUAGUCCCGUACACAAAAAUGCACAAAUUGUGAGUUCGAUGAGUAGGGCGGGACACGUGACAUCCUGUCUGAAUAUGGGAGAUCAUCCUCCAAGGCUAAAUACUCCUGACUGACCGAUAGUGAACCAGUACCGUGAGGGAAAGGCGAAAAGAACCCCGGCGAGGGGAGUGAAAUAGAACCUGAAACCGUGUACGUACAAGCAGUGGGAGCCUACUUGUUAGGUGACUGCGUACCUUUGUAUAAUGGGUCAGCGACUUAUAUUCUGUAGCAAGGUUAACCGUAUAGGGGAGCCGCAGGGAAACCGAGUCUUAACUGGGCGUUAAGUUGCAGGGUAUAGACCCGAAACCCGGUGAUCUAGCCAUGGGCAGGUUGAAGGUUGGGUAACACUAACUGGAGGAAUGAACCGACUAAUGUUGAAAAAUUAGCGGAUGACUUGUGGCUGGGGGUGAAAGGCCAAUCAAACCGGGAGAUAGCUGGUUCUCCCCGAAAGCUAUUUAGGUAGCGCCUCGUGAAUUCAUCUUCGGGGGUAGAGCACUGUUUCGGCUAGGGGGUCAUCCCGACUUACCAACCCGAUGCAAACUACGAAUACCGAAGAAUGUUAUCACGGGAGACACACGGCGGGUGCUAACGUUCGUCGUGAAGAGGGAAACAACCCAGACCGCCAGCUAAGGUCCCAAAGUCAUGGUUAAGUGGGAAACGAUGUGGGAAGGCACAGACAGCCAGGAUGUUGGCUUAGAAGCAGCCAUCAUUUAAAGAAAGCGUAAUAGCUCACUGGUCGAGUCGGCCUGCGCGGAAGAUGUAACGGGGCUAAACCAUGCACCGAAGCUGCGGCAGCGACGCUUAGGCGUUGUUGGGUAGGGGAGCGUUCUGUAAGCCGUCGAAGGUGGCCUGUGAGGGCUGCUGGAGGUAUCAGAAGUGCGAAUGCUGACAUAAGUAACGAUAAUGCGGGUGAAAAACCCGCACGCCGGAAGACCAAGGGUUCCUGUCCAACGUUAAUCGGGGCAGGGUGAGUCGACCCCUAAGGCGAGGCUGAAAAGCGUAGUCGAUGGGAAACAGGUUAAUAUUCCUGUACUCGGUGUUACUGCGAAGGGGGGACGGAGAAAGCUAGGUUAUCCGGGCGACGGUUGUCCCGGUUUAAGCGUGAAGGUGGAUGACUUUGGUAAAUCCGGGUCAUUAUUAACACUGAGGCGUGAUGACGAGUCACUACGGUGAUGAAGUAACCGAUGCUACGCUUCCAGGAAAAGCCUCUAAGCUCCAGGUAACAUCAAAUCGUACCCCAAACCGACACAGGUGGUCAGGUAGAGAAUACUCAGGCGCUUGAGAGAACUCGGGUGAAGGAACUAGGCAAAAUGGUGCCGUAACUUCGGGAGAAGGCACGCUGAUGGUAGGUGAAGUGACUUGCUCAUGGAGCUGAAAUCAGUCGAAGAUACCAGCUGGCUGCAACUGUUUAAUAAAAACACAGCACUGUGCAAACACGAAAGUGGACGUAUACGGUGUGACGCCUGCCCGGUGCCGGAAGGUUAAUUGAUGGGGUCAGCCGCAAGGCGAAGCUCUUGAUCGAAGCCCCGGUAAACGGCGGCCGUAACUAUAACGGUCCUAAGGUAGCGAAAUUCCUUGUCGGGUAAGUUCCGACCUGCACGAAUGGCGUAAUGAUGGCCAGGCUGUCUCCACCCGAGACUCAGUGAAAUUGAACUCGCUGUGAAGAUGCAGUGUACCCGCGGCAAGACGGAAAGACCCCGUGAACCUUUACUAUAGCUUGACACUGAACCUUGAGCCUUGAUGUGUAGGAUAGGUGGGAGGCUUUGAAGCGUGGACGCCAGUCUGCGUGGAGCCAACCUUGAAAUACCACCCUUUAAUGUUUGAUGUUCUAACGUGGUCCGUAAUCCGGGUUGCGGACAGUGUCUGGUGGGUAGUUUGACUGGGGCGGUCUCCUCCCAAAGCGUAACGGAGGAGCACGAAGGUUAGCUAAUCCUGGUCGGACAUCAGGAGGUUAGUGCAAAGGCAUAAGCUAGCUUGACUGCGAGAGUGACAGCUCGAGCAGGUGCGAAAGCAGGUCUUAGUGAUCCGGUGGUUCUGAAUGGAAGGGCCAUCGCUCAACGGAUAAAAGGUACUCCGGGGAUAACAGGCUGAUACCGCCCAAGAGUUCAUAUCGACGGCGGUGUUUGGCACCUCGAUGUCGGCUCAUCACAUCCUGGGGCUGAAGUAGGUCCCAAGGGUAUGGCUGUUCGCCAUUUAAAGUGGUACGCGAGCUGGGUUUAGAACGUCGUGAGACAGUUCGGUCCCUAUCUGCCGUGGGCGUUGGAAGAUUGAGAGGGGUUGCUCCUAGUACGAGAGGACCGGAGUGAACGCACCACUGGUGUACGGGUUGUGAUGCCAAUUGCAUUGCCCGGUAGCUAAGUGCGGAAGAGAUAACCGCUGAAAGCAUCUAAGCGGGAAACUUGCCUCGAGAUGAGUCUUCCCUGGGCACUAGAUGCCCCUGAAGGGCCGUUGAAGACGACGACGUAGAUAGGCUGGGUGUGUAAGCGUAGCGAUACGUUGAGCUAACCAGUACUAAUGACCCGAGAGGCUUAACCUU